AUCCCUAGCGAUCGAAACGUUGCCUGUUAAUAAAUCCACUUCUGGAGCAUUUAAACAGUUUGCAGACCUUCCUUUUUCUUAUAGUUAGAAAGAUGGUCAUACAUUUAUAAUAAUGGGCAUUUCUUGUAGGCUACUCUGCCCUCCUGGUCUACAUACAACCAAAGGGAAUCUAAAACUAUUUGUGAUUUUUUGGGGGGGCAUUGAGCUUCAAGACAAAUGUAUUUAACAGUGUUCCCUUCAUCUUCUGACUGGUUCAUGCUUCGUUUGGCCCUAACCUCAUCCAAAACACCACGACCCUCCAUUCUUCUCAAGCUGAUGUCAGUUCCCUAGGAUCGUGUAAGGUCAUUCAAAAAUGUCUCUGGUUAUUAUAGGAAAGUUUUAGCCAUAGAGUUGUGUUUCUAUGGGUGGAGCAAGGCCUGCUUUGCUAUGGACUCCAAAUGUAAUGUAUGUAACAAUUGAACAAGAAUAGGGGAAAACGCCAUGUCUAUUUACACUGAAGCGUUGACAUAUGCCAACCUGUCAAAGGCAUGGGGCGAGUUUGGUCUAUAAAAACUGUUGGUGAGUCACAUUGGAGGAGCUACAAUAAUCGGACGUCUUAUUAUUAUUACAUGGGCAUAUAUUAAUAUAUAGGCAGGCCCAGAGUGAUAGAGAUCUCUCUAUAGCUCUGGGCAGGCCUACGUUCAUCGCAUCGGCAAUGCAGCUCACUCGUCGCGCUUAAUGAAACUGACUUUGGGGAGGUGGAUGUGGGUCGCCGGGGGUCUGGGACGUUUCCCCUUGGGGAGGUGGAUGUGGGUCGCCGGGGGUCUGGGACGUUUCCCCUUGGGGAGGUGGAUGUGGGUCGCCGGGGGUCUGGGACGUUUCCCCUUGGGGAAAGUGGAUGUGGGUCGCCGGGGGUCUGGGACGUUUCCCCUUGGGGAGGUGGAUGUGGGUCGCCGGGGGUCUGGGACGUUUCCCCUUGGGGAGGUGGAUGUGGGUCGCCGGGGGUCUGGGACGUUUCCCCUUGGGGAGGUGGAUGUGGGUCGCCGGGGGUCUGGGACGUUUCCCCUUGGGGAAAGUGGAUGUGGGUCGCCGGGGGUCUGGGACGUUUCCCCUUGGGGAAAGUGGAUGUGGGUCGCCGGGGGUCUGGGACGUUUCCCCUUGGGGAAAGUGGAUGUGGGUCGCCGGGGGUCUGGGACGUUUCCCCUUGGGGAAAGUGGAUGUGGGUCGCCGGGGGUCUCUGAGACGUGCCCUUCGUCCUCCUUCACCCGAGAAAGCGGAGCCGCUGGCCCCUGCGCUGUUUAGAAAACACUUGAGGGUGGCGAGAAGGGACUUCCAGUGGGAAGGGAAUAUUUGUGUGGUCACAAAGCUUUGCAAUAUGAACUUGUUACAAUUUAUAUUUUAACUGAUGUAGGUAGAAUAAUUAUUUGUGCAAUUUGCUUUUUAAUUUAGUCUAGUCAGUCUUUUUCUGGCUUGAAUUUUACUUUAGAUUUUCAAAUAUUUUAUAUUGAAAUAUUGAUAUAGUUUUACUCUGAAUAAGAUUUCUAGAAGCACUUGAAUUUCAGCAUGCUUACCAUUGUAGUAUACAUAAAACUACCAUGGAUGGUUCUUUGCUUUUUAGCUUCUGGGCAGACACAUUUGAAGGCAAGGAAUGCAGAUUUUAUUUAUUUAUUUUCAUUGUACAUUUGUGUAUGUACAGCAAUUCUUUAGUCCAAUUAUUUCAAAAAUAUAUAAGAUCUUUUUUGCAGAAGAAUCUAUGUUCCUGAAUAAAAAAACAUUGUCUUACAAUAAACGGUUCACCUUACACUUUUCAUUGUCAACAAUGACUAUAUGAUCACAUUGAGCACACGUUUAACAAUAGUGAUGAUGCAAGGCACGCUUGAUAAAGGCCUGACAUUCUUUCUCAAAUGGCUUGUUUGAAUUAUCACCAGGUUCAGACCAAUCCCUCUGCUGAAAUCAUUUAUUAUGCACAAUAAUAUAGUAUAAACAUGUCUCUUUCUUCUUAGAUUUUGAAAAUGGAUAAAAAAACGAAAAGGGAUGAACAGGAAUAAAACAUUUUAUAGUAUGCAAUUUUAAGCUCCUUUAAAAUAAAUCACAUUAUUGCUCUUCAAAAAAUAAGAAAAUAUAUGAAUCACGUUUCCUUUCCUUCUCAAUCCGAAUCCUUCUCAAACCUCAUCCUGAUAUAAGUCCUUAUUGAAAAUAGAAAAAGGGGGAGUAAUCUUCUGAGUUUGGAUACCCAUAUUGGUUAAAAGAAAUUAUCCGAUGUGGCCCUCAAACGUGCGCCUUUAUGGAGAUAGCUAGCUAGUGUAUGGUCACCCAAAGAAGAGACAUGAAGAGCUUCAGGAGAGCAUUGCACGAAUGAACCUUCAUGUUCAAAAAAACGAUAAUCACGCCUAUUUAGUAUAAAUAUAGACGCUUAAUAACCAUAUAGUAAAGUUCUGCUUUGAUAUACGAGUUUGUGUGUUUAAAUAAGCUAAAUAUACCUAAAUACCAACAUGGAGAAGGUUUGGACCGGAGGUCCCCGUGUGUCGGGUUGGAAAACCUACUGGCUGAAGACCGCUUCUUAACACAUGGAAUCCAAAGACGAGCCAACAGAAGCUGAAAAUCUUAGGUGCUGGCCAACCAAAAGCAUCGCUUCGAUAAAAAAA